rnacentral:lncRNA from 1 species
AAAAUGCACUCAUGAAAAUUAACAAUUCAUACCAAGCAAGUGUUUCACUCAAUCACUCAAGUGUUUAGGGUGACACUCCAACUCUCUAUCAUUCAUAAGUCACAAGAAAUAAAAUUGCCAUUGAUCUCAAACAAUCACAUCUUUACAUGCAAAUGUCAUCAAAAGGACUUUUCCAAGGCUUGUAAUGAGGUUGGGUUAACAAGAAAAAUUGGUUUUUCUGGAAAACAAAAUCCUUGAGUUAAGAGAGCUAUCAUAAUAUUCAACAUUUAAGCACAACUCUUUUCCUCACCAAUCUCUCUCAUUCCUAACUUUUUUCCUUUUCCUUUUUCAUUGAGCUCAUCUUCAUGCUUUUUCUUAUUUUUUCUUUUUCUCAUGCAUUUUUCUUUUUCAACAAUUGAGCUCAAUGCUUCUUAAUAGCUUUCCAAUUUCCCCCAUUCAACCCCA